CGAGUAACUUGGAAACUCAAGCAAGGGUCUGCCUCCCUUUUAUUGUUUUCACCUCUGGCUUCUAUUGCCUUUUACUACCUCUACUGAUGGCAGUAGAAGCCCUGAGCGUGGUAAGGAAAAAAGAUACAGCUAAAACUGACUUGGCACUGAGUCCUGUCACACAGCAUUGCAGCAAGUGGAAUGGAUUAGAAAAAAAUUUCAAAUGAUGUUGGCAUAUGCAAUGGUAACAUACAUAGUGAAUUCAGAAGAGUGAAGAACUGCUUCCUGUCAUUCAAGAAGAACAGCCAUCUUAUUCUAGUGAAUAUGAAAGCUUUGUUGAAUGAAAAGGAAAACUGCAAAAAUCUAUGAAGUGACUCAGUAUUCACAAAAUCCUCCUUGAGAAUGUCUAUAAAUAUCUCUCCAAAGAAGCCUUUCUGAAUUACACAGUUACAAUAAAAACUAUUACUUCCUCUUCUGAUUUGUAGAAAAUAAGACACAGAUUAAGAAAAUAAGAACUCUUCCAAACAGUAUAAUGAAACAGUACACAUUUAUUGUAAUUUACAAUGUUUCAUUACUUAGUUGCCCUGUGUAAUUCUCAUACAUAUAUUCUUACUUGCAUCAACAGAUUAGAUACAUUCAUAGUCACUUCUGUUAAAAAUCUGGUCAAGGGUCAUUGAAUACACAUAGGAAAUAAUACCCUAUAUAAUUUUAUUUCCAUGAGAAAAUUCAAUUUGCCAUUUAUUAUUUCAAUUCAUUUUCUUUUUUCAGAAAGGGAAACUUGACAGGAACAGAGUAUGUUGUAGUUAAGUGUAAGGGCUAGAGGCAAACUGUGGGGGCUUGGAUGCCAGGCUCCCUCACUCUCUAAUGUGUGAUAUUAGGAUAAUCACUUAUCUUCUCUGUGUCUGCACCACAGAAUUCAAUGUAAUAAUGCAUGUGGGGAAUAUAGUGCUAGUAUGUCCAUAGCUAUCAUAGCUAUCAUUGUCACCAUGAGUAACCAUCCCUGUUCCAUAGCCACAGGAUGAAGGCUAACCAACGUGCCAGUCAAGAACAGGGUUUAUAGGACCUUACAAGAACAUGACCAGGACAAACCUUAUGCCAAAAGUGAUAAUCAACUAAAGGUGACUUUUCUUCCUAAUGUACAUCUGGAUUCACUGGUAUCUGCUUCUAGUAUGAUUCUAAAAAUCUCUAAGGAGAUUGCUGCUGAUUGACUAUUAACCUGAUCAUCAAGAAAGGAAUUAUCUAGGAUUUAGCACAUUCUUCAAAUUACAAAAUCUAAUUUUCUUUCUUAAAAAGGUAAGAUAUAAAAACAUAUCUUAGCAUU